rnacentral:other from 1 species
CGUUCUCUGCGGCGUUCGAGUAGUGGACUGGGUACUCCUUGAACCUAAUUUGUUUUACCCAAGGUGAUCAGUUGUCGGCGCAAGUGUGCAUGUCCACUGGGUUGGCGAAUUUAGUCCAGCCCGGCGGAAAGCCUGACGCGCCGCCCUGUUCCCCGACUUGAUCCUCGCGGCUCAAGGGCAAAAGUCCGAGACGGCGCAGGCGGAGAACGC